GGCUGCCGCCGCCCCGGGGAAGAAGAGACAGGGGUGGGGUUUGGGGGAAGCGAGAGAGGAGGGGAGAGACCCUGGCCAGGCUGGAGCCUGGAUUCGAGGGGAGGAGGGACGGGAGGAGGAGAAAGGUGGAGGAGAAGGGAGGGGGGGAGCGGGGAGGAGCGGCCGGGCCUGGGGCCUUGAGGCCCGGGGAGAGCCGGGGAGCCGGGCCGGCGCGCCGAGAUGCUGCUGCUGCUGCUACUGGCGCCACUCUUCCUCCGCCCCCCGGGCGCGGGCGGGGCGCAGACCCCCAACGCCACCUCAGAAGGUUGCCAGAUCAUACACCCGCCCUGGGAAGGGGGCAUCAGGUACCGGGGCCUGACUCGGGACCAGGUGAAGGCUAUCAACUUCCUGCCGGUGGACUAUGAGAUUGAGUAUGUGUGCCGGGGGGAGCGCGAGGUGGUGGGGCCCAAGGUCCGCAAGUGCCUGGCCAACGGCUCCUGGACAGAUAUGGACACACCCAGCCGCUGUGUCCGAAUCUGCUCCAAGUCUUAUUUGACCCUGGAAAAUGGGAAGGUUUUCCUGACGGGUGGGGACCUCCCAGCUCUGGACGGAGCCCGGGUGGAUUUCCGGUGUGACCCCGACUUCCAUCUGGUGGGCAGCUCCCGGAGCAUCUGUAGUCAGGGCCAGUGGAGCACCCCCAAGCCCCACUGCCAGGGUGAGGGGAACAGCUGCCUGCAUGCAGCUGAUGAGGACGCUUGUGUGAGGAUGGGAGUAGGGUGGGAUUGGAUAAUGGGAAAGAAUGGGGAGCUAUAAAAAUGUGGGGGAGGACAUUGGAAAGGGGGAGAUGAAAGUCCCUUUUUCCUCCAUCACCUGCCUCAAACUUCCUCUUGCAGUCCCCGGUAUCCUUUGUAGGUUGGGGGCUUCCUUCCUUUACCUUUUAAAAAAAUCUUCCUGCUCCCAAUUCUUAGGCCUCACGUUUUCUCUUUUCCUUUAUGAAUCUCACCUCUCUCACCUUCUUCAGGUUUAAAUACUCCAAUUUUCCCUUUCUCUAAACUUAGAAAUUUCCAUGCAUCACCCUCUUCUAGAAUUCAUCCCUCACCAUUCCUUAUAUACUUGAUUUAUUGUAAAGACUCAGAAAUAAAUCAAACAUUCUACUAAGAAAAAUUGAGAAGGGGAGCUCUGGGGGUGGAAACAUUAGGGUAAAAAGACUUAAAAUUGGAGGCAGCAUUAUCAGAAGAUGAAGAACAACUCAGGGAUGGGGUGGGAAGAAGACA
rnacentral:sRNA from 1 species